UUAUUUCAAAUUAAUAUGAUCAUGUUGUACAACGAAAUAGAUAAUUAAAUAGAUUUAAAAUAAACAAAGACAAUCAAUCAUGACUUAAAUUCCAACCAUAAGAUCUAACAAUUUUAGUAACAAAAGUAGGAUUAUGACUUAAAUUCCAACCAUAAGAUCUAACAAUUUUAGUACAAAUUUUCUUACACCAAUUUCGUAACAUAAGUAGGAUCAUGACUUAAAUUCCUAAAAAUACCCCUUAUUCCUCUCAAACAUGAUAAAGCUUGAACGAAGACCAAGUAUGCAUAUAUAAUUCUCCAUACUCUUCCCUUUUAACCAACUUUUAGCAUCUCAAUCUGCAUAUAUCAUUACUUUAGGUUUGAUCCUCCAGCUGAAAUCAAGCCAACCCAAAUUCCAAAUCAAUCACAACUUUGGAAUCAUAAAUCAUUAUUUCAAGAACAUAACCAAAAUCUUUUGUUACUUAUAAAGAUUGUGCAACAAAAUUCAUUGCAAAAACUUAUCAACCAAACAAUCUACUUCCACAAUGCCUCCUGGUAUCAUCAAAUACAUCAAGUAACUGAAAGAGAGACAUGAACCAAUCAUGAAAACACAAAGAUAAUCCAUUUCUCCUGUUAUAUGCUCUAUAUAAUACAUAAAGGUUCUUUUCUAAAAACAAUAAUACAUAAAGGGGGAUAUUGUUUCUUACCAAGAAAAUCAUUUUUCUUUUCAUGCAGCACAUUAGCACAAAUUAGAUCACAACAAACCAAAAUAGUCUUUCUUUCCCUACACGGGCACGUAAAAAAACAUCAAUGCUAUACUUAGUAACUUUAAAUAUAAUUAAAACAAAAAAAAAAGAGAGACUAAAAUGUCACCAAAAAUUUGAAGGGUUCGAUUAAAAUAAAGACUUAAACAUCCACCUCAAGCAAGUUAUGCCAACCUAUAACUUUUUCCCCGGUAAGAACUUAUUUAUUAUUCAUUCAAAAGAAAAAAGAACUUAUAAUUUACUCAAAUAUUUCAUCAAACAGUUUAAAAACAAACAAUGAUACUCUAAUAAAUGAUUUUUUCUUCAGCGGAUGGGCAUGUAUUAUCUCCUAAGAGACCUAAAAAAUAUGCAGCAAGAAACUUGUAUCAGGACUUGGUAUGUAGGAUUACUGAGACAGAGAAGUGAAGAGAACCUCAUUAAUCUCAUAUUUUGAUGGAGAAACUGCUGAAGCACAUUAACUUCUACAAAAUUAAUUGACAUCUUCCUUAUCUAGAAUGAAUAUUAGGAGCAAUAUCAAUCAUAUUGUUAAAAACACACCAUAAUUCAGAUUCUUUGGCAAAAAAAUAUCAAACUUUUUACAAGAAACUGAAAAGCUAUUAUUGAUUUUUGUCAAGUAAACUGUCAAUAACAAAAAACAUAUAGAAAAAUAAAAAAAACCCCAAAAAUGACAGCAAAACUUUGUUACUCCAUGAAAACUUAAAUCACUAAAAUAGAAAUAAAAUUCAGAUCUACAACAUAUGACAACAAUUAAACAUAACUUAUUGUUGCAAGUGGCAACUACAAUUCUGCAAAGCAGAUAAGGUGACAGGAAGAAAAAGACAAUACAAAAAUUAAAAAGCUUGAUAACAUGAAGCGUGAAUUUCAAAAUCGACAAUAAAGUGAUAGGUGGAUUCAAAAAUCGAAAUCAAUAUAAACAAAAUUAGGAAAAUAAGCAAAUACAUUCAAUUUCCAUGACCAAAAAAUCGAAGAAAAUGGGUUAAUACCUAAGAAAAAGAUGCUUGCUAAAUUGGGUGUCUGGUACAACUUUAAGCUAAAGCUUUCACCGCUUCUCCUCCCACCCGUAAAACCCUAUCGAGCAUCGUAUGUCUUCAGAAAGUCCACUCGUUAGCGACUUCACUUAAAAACCAUGGGGUUGUUAACAAUUGGAAAAAGCAUAGAUGUAAGGGUAGGAGGCGAUAUGGUGAAUUAGGAGAGAAAAAGAGAUGGUCGCCGAUGAAUUCUGAGAUUUGGGGGAUACCUACAUUUUUGGAUUUCAAAAUUCGAAUCCCCUAUAAGAUGGACACAAGAUAUGCGAGUUUUAGGGAAAAAAGGGGGAUUUCCAAGGUUAAGAGAAGGAGUAUCAAAUGAGCGAGAAACAAA
rnacentral:lncRNA from 1 species